GGGUCGAUGGCGUAGCUGGUUAUCGCAUCUGUCUAACAUGUUGUUUCGACUGGAUAUUAUGUCGUACACAGAAGGUCCUCAGUUCGAACCUGGGUCGACUCA